rnacentral:rRNA from 1 species
CCUACGGGAGGCAGCAGUAGGGAAUCUUCCGCAAUGGACGAAAGUCUGACGGAGCAACGCCGCGUGAGUGAUGAAGGCUUUCGGGUCGUAAAACUCUGUUGUUAGGGAAGAACAAGUGCUAGUUGAAUAAGCUGGCACCUUGACGGUACCUAACCAGAAAGCCACGGCUAACUACGUGCCAGCAGCCGCGGUAAUACGUAGGUGGCAAGCGUUAUCCGGAAUUAUUGGGCGUAAAGCGCGCGCAGGUGGUUUCUUAAGUCUGAUGUGAAAGCCCACGGCUCAACCGUGGAGGGUCAUUGGAAACUGGGAGACUUGAGUGCAGAAGAGGAAAGUGGAAUUCCAUGUGUAGCGGUGAAAUGCGUAGAGAUAUGGAGGAACACCAGUGGCGAAGGCGACUUUCUGGUCUGUAACUGACACUGAGGCGCGAAAGCGUGGGGAGCAAACAGGAUUAGAUACCUGGUAGUCCACGCUGUAAACGAUGAGUGCUAAGUGUUAGAGGGUUUCCGCCCUUUAGUGCUGAAGUUAACGCAUUAAGCACUCCGCCUGGGGAGUACGGCCGCAAGGCUGAAACUCAAAGGAAUUGACGGGGGCCCGCACAAGCGGUGGAGCAUGUGGUUUAAUUCGAAGCAACGCGAAGAACCUUAC